GUUGCUCUUGGGUGGCCGCGGCGCCCGCUCCCUCUGAAUUCGCCGGGCAGGGAUACAGCCGCCCGGGGCCUCUUGCUCGUGCUUGGUUUUCCGGACCUUGCUUCCUAAAGGGUCUUUAGGGGUUCCCGGACUCCUCCGCCUGGGAGCCUCUAUCCGCCUGGGAGCCUCUAUGCGCCCCGCAAAGCCCCCGGCAGAGCCGAGGGGAGGCUUCAUUGGCGACCUGGUGGGGCCUCGCGGCCCUGCUCCCUGACGUCAGCGCCGCCGCGGUGAUUUAACAGCUUUUGUUUUGGGCAGAAGAACCUAUGGGCACAAAAAGCAGGAACGAGUAGCGGUGGCUGAAGAACGAGCAGGAGCUUGAAUUUCAGUUUUCUUAUGAGGAAUUUUCCAGAAAAGAUAUCUUCACUGUGAAAUAACUAAAUAAAUGCCCACUCAGUACAGUCACUGUCUCCCUUUUGGAACUUGAUGGCACCUUAAGCCCAGGUUUGCCUCCACUCUAGAAACUCAUCAGAGUGAUGCCCUUCUCAAAUGGGGGAGGUCCCAAAGCGGAUAUCCUGGCAGUGUGAAAGGCCGGCUAAAGGUUUGUGCCAAGAGGAUCUGUGGAAUGCAUCUCCUACAGCUGGUGCUGCUGAGUAACCACUCUGAUCUGGCAUCUUCUUUGAUCAAGUUACAGAGCAGAGUUUCCAGGGCUGGGGAUUGAAGUCCUGCCUCCUCCCUUUGUCUCUGGUUGUCCUCGGUAAUGUUUUUCCCUCAAGGUACUCAUGAUACUUCCCAUGGGGUGAGUCAGGGACAGGUCUCUUUCCAGGGAAUCCAGGAUGGUAGGGAGGUUGGUUGUCUACCUUGAUCUCACUUUUUCCAUUGUAGAAACUGUGAGUUGGGGAAAGUUUUCCACACACUUGGUGCUGGACAGAUUGUGGCAAGGGGCACCACAGAUAUAAAAAUCUGAUUCUUUUACCAUGCUCAGAGUUUUUUCACUUCUGUGUCCCCAGGAAUUGACUCAUCCUCAUAUCUGAGUUCUGGGAUAUUGUUGGUGAUAAUCUCAGUGCUGUAUAUUUGUUUUUGGUUUUCUGGUGUGGAAGUGAAGCCAGCUUGCGUCUACACUGCCAUUUUUGAACUAGAAGUCCACCUGAUGCCAUGUGGGUCUGCUCUAACAAAGAUGCCUGUAGCUGUCUCUGUAGGUACAAUUGGAGCUACUACCUCAUAAAGUUUGUGGUAGCCCACUAUCUGGUUUUUGGAGGGGCUAGACUGGUAAAUUAAAUGGAGAUACAAUUUGAACCAUCAUCCCCGAAUCUUUUAGGUCUUUUAGGAUGGCAUUAAUUUCUGCCAUUCCCUGAAAUAUUAUUUUUUGAUUUACUGUAUUGGUAUGGAGAAGAGGUCAAUUUUUAAAGCUUCCACCUGGCCACUUGGCCUUUAUCACUAUGUUAGCUCUUACCACACACACCGAGAAACCUGGUGCCACUAAUCAAGUGUAUUUAUCACAAUUAUACACUCAAGGACUAGGUGGGUCUGUGGAUAUAUUGUGAGCCAGACUUGGGCCAGGACACCCUAGGACUUGGCCUCCAUAACCCUUACUCUAAUCAAGGGCAUAUAGUGAGAGUUCUGUGAUAUCAUUGUUAACUCAGACCCUGUUUCCAACAGAUAUCAAAAUGUUGAGUAUUCCCCUUUCACCACUGUAUGAUUUCCUGAGUAAUGGUGAUAGGUCCCUUUGGAGAAGGACUAGAGGAAUCAUUAUUGUGCACACUUGUGGUAUUACACAAUCCUUCCUCCUGGGGACCCAGAUUCUUCUUUAGUUAAUGGGCCUGGAUCCAAAAACGGACUCAGGUCUGGAAAUCGGACAAGGGGUCAUGAUUAUUUUUUAUUUUUAUUUAUUUAUUUAUUUAUUUAUUUUUGAGACAGAGUCUCCCUCUUUAGCCCAGGCUGGAGUGCAGUGGCACAAUCUCUACUCAUGGCAACCUCCAUCUCCUGGGUUCAAGCAAUUCUUUUGCCUCAGCCUCCCGAGUAACUGGAUUACAGGCGCGCACCACCUUGCCCGGCUAAUGUUUGUAUUUUUAGUAGAGACAGGGUUUCACCAUGUUGGCCAGGCUGGUCUUGAACUACUGGCCUCAGGGAAUCCACCCUCCUCGGCCUUCCAAAGUACUAAAUUUAUAGUCAUGAGCCACUGCACCCCGCCAGUUUAACUUUUUUUUAAUUGGCUUAGUUGCCAAGAGAGGAAGUUGGGGAGGAUCCUGAGGAGUGUAUGUUUUGUCCUUGGAGAGAGAGCUCAUUGUCUUCAAGCAAAAGAGGGAGCACACUAGCCCUUAUUAGAGAAGAGAGGGGCACUUCUGUAGCCUUAGAAGGUUCUGGAAACCUGAGGAUUGAAGAUUUUUCAGGUGCAUCAACCCAGAUGGUUUCAUCCCAUGUGUCAGGGUUCCAUUUUUUCCCAAUCAGGGUCCUGACAACAGCACAGUAGACCUGCCUAGCUUGGGUCCUAACUUCUUUGGAGUUUUAUUCUCAUGACUAAGUCCUGGGCCUGGUCCUCAGCUUCCUCUCCUCAUUGGCUUGAGAACCUGAGAGUCUCAUAUUCUACGAGGGAGGCUUUCUGGCCCUCACACUGAGUUUUUGUUUGUUUUUGAGACAAGAUCUUGCUUUGUCACUAAGGCUGAGUGUGUAGUUGCACCCAGGCUGGGAGUGCAGUGGCACAGUAAGCUACUGUAACCUUGAACUCCUGGACCCAAAUUAUCCUCUGGCCUCAGCCUCUUGAGUAACAGAACAACAAAUGCAUGCCACUAUGCCCUGCUGAUUUUAAAUUUUUGUGGAGAUGGGCCUUGCUAUGUUGCCCAGGCUGGUCUUGAAUUCCUGGCCUCAAGCUAUCCUCCCUUUUCAGUCUUCUGAGGCACUGGAAUUACAGGCAUGAGCCACGGCUCUUGGUCCCACACUCAGCUUCUAAUUACCAACUAAUCACUCUCAUUCUUUUAUUUUGAGACAGGGUCUCAUUCUGUAGCUCAAGCUGGAGUACAGUAGUGCAAAUAUAGCUCACUGCAGCCUCAAACUCCUGGGGUCAGGUGAUCUUCUUGCCUCAGCUUCCCAAAUAGCUAGGACUACAGCCACAAGCUACUGGGCAUGGAUAAUUUUUUAAAUAUUUGUAGAGACAGGGUCUCGCUAUGUUGCCCAGGCUGGUCUCAAACUCCUGGCUCAGCCUCCCAAAGUGCUGGGAUUACAAGUGUGAGCCACUAUGCCUGGCCCAUUCUCAUUCUUCUGUUAUCUUUUUCCAAGGUAUCGGUCUAGCUCAGUAAUAACUCUUCAGUUCCACUGUCUACACUGUUUCCCACCUGAUCUUCGUGCCUGCCGGUGCAUUUCUUUGUGUUGACAUGCCAUCUCAGUUCACCACUAGUCAAAGUUUUAAUAACUGCACUGUCAGGGUGUGCUAGCAGUUAACUUCUCCCUGCCCCAGUGAGGAGACUCUCAUCCUAUAAGUGAGAAGGCAAGAGAAAUGGCUCCAAAAGCACACUGGAGCACCUACUUUCCUGCAACCCUUCUGAUACCAAGUAUCACAGAUGCUGAGAUGAAGAUUAGUGGGUAGGAGAUUUGGAUUGCCACCUGUGGAAAGAAAGGAAACUCCACUGGGUGGAGGAAGAAUAUGGACUAUGAUGCAAUCUCAAAGGUGGCCUUAGCUGACACUAAGGGGAACUCUGAAGCUAGGAUGGUCUUUCAGAUUGUUCUAAUAUGGGGCAAUGGGACUAGUCUUUGCAUGCAGCCUGGCCCAAGAAGGAAGUGUGACUUCAGAUGAGGUGGCUCUUUUCACUUAAGAGGGCAAUUCUACUGACAGCUGAGGGCCGUUGGGUGCACACUGCCAGAGCGAGAAAACAAAAUCCUCUGUAGGGAAGGGGACUGUGUGGCAUAUCACAGCACACCCCGAGAACAAGGGAGCGGCUCUUCAUCAAAUAACACAAUAUGGGCCCACAUAUUCCCAGAGGCUGCUAUAGUGCUGGGCACAUUAGUGCUCAAUAACUUAUUGAAUUAGUAUUAUCAUAUUGUGCUAUUGCCAUCCUCAUCUUUUAAAGUCACUUAUCACUUAAUGGAUGUUCUUGUUAGAACUGACACUAUGAAGAUGACUAUGACACAAUUACCUGUUGAGCCUAUUUGAGAAAUUAACCUAUAUUUAACAAGUUUGACUAAUUAGAUUGGUUAAGAGCCUUAGCAGAGGGCUAAACAAAAUGGUGUUAAAGAAUACACCUGAUGGUCCAAGAAAAUCCCUAACUCCCUAGAAGGUCUGGAUAGUCUGAGAAGUGACAUUCGAACAGUGUAAUGCACUUUCCUCCAGAGCCAGAAGCAGGGAAAGCAGAGGCAGCAGCAAUUUUAUCUUCUGGGCACCUUAUCCUCAGACCUCAUUUUAUCAAUACAUACGGACUGUCUACAACCACGUAAUAUCCUUUUCAUCAGCCUUAUGAAAUUUUCCCCCAAUUUAUCCAAGUCAGGAUUUCAGUAUGCAGAAGUCUAAUGUCAUCUUGGAGAGUUCAUUGUGCCUCCCCCAUAUCCAAGACCAUUUACUAAAACCUUAGUUCAGUCUUUAAAGAGUCACAAGAUCCUAUUAUGCCUAGUUUUUUUUCCAGUCUUUUAAGUCUAUUCCUUACCUUGCCAAAAAAGUACCUGUUUCUAUGGUUUAACAAAUGGAGCUUAGAAUAUGGAACUAUGACAAAAAUACCUGCUACAUGCUUCCUUCUGUAUGAAUACAUGAGACCUACCUUCAUUCAUGUUUCCUCUAUGAAGCUUUCCCUGCACUCCAAACACAGAGCUGAGACUUCCACCUAAUGUAGAAAGCUAGCACGAGCCGGCGCUGACAGAUGGAAGACUUGAGAUGUUACAAGAUUAUAUAUGGAAACACAAAAGGAGUGGAGUUGCUGGGUCAUAUGGCAAUUCAUUUGAGGAACUGAGAAGCUUAUUCCAUGGAGGCUGAACUGUUUUAUAUUCCCACCAGCAACGUGUAAGGUUCCAGUUUAUCUACAUCAUCACCAACACUUGCUAUUUUCCAUUUCAUUAAUGAUAGCCAUCCUAGUGGAUUUGAAGUGGUACCUUAUUAUCGUGGUUUUGAUUGCAUUCUCUAUUGACUAAUGAUAUCGAGCAUCUUUUCAUGUAUUUUUUGGUCAUUUGGUCAUUUUUCUUUUUUAAUUUUAAAAUUUUGAGACAGGCUCUCACUAUGUUGCCCAGGUGGUCUCAAACUCCUGGGUUCCAGCGAUGCUCAUGCCUCAGUCUCCCAAAGGGGUGGGAUUACAGGUGUGAGCCACUUUGCCCAGCCCAUUUGUAUAUCUCCUUUGGAGAAUAUCUAGGUUCUUUUGAAGGUAGCUGCAUAUAAACUAGCCAAAUUAACAGACUGUGGUUUUUAGAUGGCUUUCCAUAUCUACAAGAACUAUUUAGUUCUCAAAACUGGGAAGAAAUGUUUCAGAGGCAUCAUUAAUUCAUAAUCUAAAAAUUUAUCUUGGGUUUCCUUUUUUCCCCCAGAUUCUGUAUCCUCCAUAGUCCUAUUCAUGACAUGGGUCGUUCAUCUCUGUAUUCUAAACCCUCAAUGAACUGUAGACAGUAAUAAAUAUUUAUUGGAUGAAUGGUCUCUCAUCAGCCACCUUUUCUUUUUUUUUUUUUGAGACAGAGUCUCACUCUGUCACUCAGGCUGGAGUGCAGUGGCGCGAUCUCGGUUCACUGCAACCUCUGCCUCCCGGGUUCAAGUGAUUCUCCCACCUGAGCCUCCCGAGUAGCUGGGAUUACAGGUGCACGCCACCUUGUCUGGCUAAUUUUUGUAUUUUUAGUAGAGACAGGGUUUCACCGUGUUGGUCAGGCUGGUCUCAAACGCCUGACCUCAGGUGAUCUGCCCGACUUGGCCUCCCAAAGUGCUGGGAUUACAGGUGUGAGCCACCGCACCUGGCCUCCAGCCUCUUUUCUUUUUUUUUUUUGAGACAAGUCUAACUCUGUCACCCAGGCUGGAGAGCAGCGGCAUGAUCAUGGCUCACUGCUGCCUCAACCUCAGAGGCUCAAGUCAUUGUCCCCACCUCAGCCUCCCUAGUAGACUGGACUACAGGCAUGUGCCACCACACCCAGCUAAUUUUUCAUCAGCCACCUUUUCUAACCAUCUGUCUGCACUGACUUCCCAGGUUCUGCAUCAUUAUUGGUUUACUGAGACAAUGCACUUCACCCGUCCUUCAAUCCCAAAGUAGCACAGAAUAUCAGGAGUUCUUUGAGCCCCUAAGUGCCCUACUUUCCCAGGGUCAGGGGACCCUGACAAGCAAGGUCCCCACAUCUUUCUGUGGUUGGAUAGGGAUAUAAAAUUUCUCACACAUGUUAAAUCAAGAUACUUUGGCCAGGCACGGUGGCUCACACCUGUAAUCCCAGCACUUUGGGAGGCUGAGGUGUACAGAUCACUUGAGGUCAGGAGUUUGAGACAAGCCUGGUCAACAUGGUGAAACUCCCAUCUCUACUAAAAAAAAAAAAACUUUGGGAGGCCGAGGUGGGUGGAUCAUGAGGUCAGGAGUUUGAGACCAGCCUGGCCAACAUGGUGAAACCCCGUCUCUACUAAAAAUGCAAAAAUUAGGUGGGUGUGGUGGCACACAGCAGUAGUCCCAGCUACUCAGGAGGCUGAGGCAGGAGAAUUGCUUGAACCUGGGAGGCAGAGGUUACAGUGAGCUGAGAUCAUGCCACCGCACUCCAACCAGGGCAACAGAUCAAGACUCCAUCUUGGGGAAAAAAAAAAAAAUUAGCCAGGCUUGGUGGUGGAUGCCUGUAUUCCCAGCUUCUUGGGAGACUGAAGCAGGAGGAUCGCUUGAACCCAGGAGGCAGAGGUUGCAGUGAGUUGAGAUUGUGCCACUGUACUCCAGCCUGGGCAACAGAAACAAUACUCCGUCUCAAAAAAAAAAAAAAAAAAAAAAAAUCAAGACACCAAACACACACAACUAAUUAGCUCUAUAAAUUGAAUUAAAAGAAAAUCCAUACUGACUUGCUUUCCCAUCUGUCCAUAUUUGUCUAUCCAAAUGAUUAAGGGCUAGAGAAAAUACAGAUGAUGAUGGCUGAGAUGGGAUAAAACUAUAAAUUGACUUGGUUCCAUUUACCUCCCAGAAUCAGCAUACAGUGACAAAGUAGAGAGAAAAGGUCUGGGCACCACAAACUUGUACUUGUGCUAGAAAUGUAGGUGCCUUUUCAUUUGCCCAGCAGGGCUAGUUUAACAGCCAGGGUAUCUUCUGGGACUCUUCCCCAAAUCUUGCUCUACCGCUGACUAGCUAUGUGAUCUUGGGCAAGUUUCUCAACCUUUCUGUGCCUUUCUUCCUUUACUUAUAAAUAAGGAUAACAGAAUUUGCUUCAUAGAGUUAGUCUGAGGAUUCAGUAAGUAGAUACGUGUAAUCUUAGAACAGUGUCUGGCACACAGUAAAACUCUAUCUUUGCUAUUGUUGUUUUUGUUAUAACUGUAUAGAUGUUAGCUAUUAUUACUAUCCACAAGAAUGGGACAUAUCAAUUAUAUAUAUUACUGGCCUAGUAAUUAUAUAUACUUAGAAUCCCUGAUCAAUAAAAUAAAUUGUAAUAGAAAUUUUUAUUCCUCAAACACAUUUUUGUUCCUCAAACACAUUUUUAAAUAAACAUGUCUUGGGAAAGCCAAAGAAAAAAAAAUCAUACCUAUAUCCAAAUAUGUUAUAUUAAAACCUUGUUCCUUGGCAAUUUCACUAAGCAGCUGGAUGUAAUCUGUAUUUGGAAUACUAAGGAGGCUUCUUUUCAGUAAGUUGAUCUUUUCACCAGGAGAAUUCCUCAAGGAAUGCCAAGUACAUCCUAAAGAAUGUCCUACUACAUUUGUCUGAAAAACAGAGAUGAAGAUUUAGACUCUUGACUAGGACUGGGUUCCAACACCCGUACCAGUAUCAUUAAAAGUACUUAUUAAGCACUCACAUUUAAUAUGUUAUAAAGCAUGUUUAAAUGGAUAACAUUUGGUUAAUUUUCCAAUUUAAACAAGACAACAUUAAAAAGUACACAUUUAACAAUACUAUAUGUUUUUAAGAAGCACUUGCAAUAAUAUACUGAAAGCAUUUUGUAUUUUGUAUAGUACAAAUGUUUCUCAGUCAAGUUUUCUGAUGGUCACAUUAAGAGGUACAAGAUAUCUGGAAGCACCAUAAGUAAAUCCACAAAUAAUUAAAUCUGCCUAAUGGAGCAAUUUGCAGAUUAAAAUAUAGAACAAUUUUCAUAUCUUUGGUUUUUUUUGUAUUAAAUACCAAUCACUAUAACUGACAGCUAUCAAACAGGAAAAAAAACAGAAAAAAAAACUAAAAAAAACAUGAAAUGUGCGCGUUGGGUUUGAGGAACAAGUCAUUCAAAUAAAUGACAGGAUGUCAAAAAGUUCUUAUCAGACUUCUAUCCCAGAACCCAACUGAGUAUUUUUUUCCUUUUUCUUUCUGCUUUUCCUCUUUCCUUUAUCCUCCCCUAUAUCCUUCCCUUUUCAUCUCUGUCCUUAGAAUGCCUUAUAUUUCCAUAUUAGUUUAUGGUUCUCAAAUUGCUUUCAUAUGCCAUUAAUAAAAACAACUACUUUCUGAAGUAAGUAGGGUUACUACUCUUAAUAUUGUUUUAUUAAUGAGCACGACAGAGGGGAGGCAAUUUCCAAAAGAUUUUAGAGAUGGCAUGAUAUGGAAUUAAGUAAUUUAUUAGAUUUACCAAAUAAAAAUUUACAUUAUAGAAACUUUAAAAUACUGUUUUUAAAUAAAGAACACUAUUUACAUGGUUAAAAAUAUACAUGCACUAAGAACAAAUAUAUAAUGAAGAGUACAGUCUCUUUUCCUUACCACCCAUUCCCUGAAGACCUCUGUUCUAUUUCUUAGACAUACUGUUAAACAUUUUUCAGUAUCUUCCCAUAAAUGUUCUAUGCAUAUGCAAGCACACACAAUCUUUUAAAGCAAAUGAUAACUUACUCCUCUACAUCUUGUUCAUUUUUCUUUUAUCAGUGCACAUAUAUGCACUGUAUUUACCUUACGGAUCUCCAACUGUGAGCUUUAGGUUGUUUCUAGUUUCUUGCUUUUACUAGCAAUAAACACUCUUUUGCACUUGAAUGAGUUUCUCUGUAGAAUUAUUUCUAGAAGUGGAACUGCUAAGUCAAAGAACAUGUACACUUUUAAUUUUGAUAAAUACUUCCAAACUGAUUUCUGAACCAAUUUAUACUCCUACCAACUGUCUUGGAGGGGGCUUGUUUUCUCAUACCCUCACUAAUACCAGCUAUUAUCAAAUUUUGUAGUUUUUGCCAAUCUAAAAGGUGAAAAUAUUUUAUCUUGCAUGAAUAAAGUUGAAUAUUUUUUCUUUUUUUCCCUUAAUCGUUUGCAUUUCUUCUACUGGGUUGUCUUUUUAACUGAUGCAUAAGAGCUUUUUAAAUUUUCUCUUUUUUAAGAGUUAGGAUCUUGCUGUGUGGCUUAACUCUCAAACUCUUGGGCUCUAGCAGUCCUCCCACCUUAGCCUCCCGAGUAGCUGGGACUACAGGCAUGUGCUGCUGUGUGCAGCAGAUGUGUACAAAAGAGCUUUAAAGGUAGUACUGAAAACAGUUCCUUUAUAGUUCUAUGUUGAAAAUAAUUUCUUCCCACUUUUUUAUUGUCUUAAUUUACAGAUUUUUUGCUGUGCAGUAGGUUUUAUGUUGUCAAAUGUAUUAAUCUUUUAACCUAGGUUUUAAGUUAAAAUGCUUUCCCCAUGCUAAGAUUUUUAAAAAGAAAAACUCUUCCAUGUUUCCUAAUAUUUAUACUGUUUCAAAUUUUUAUGUUCAAAUCUUUGAUCCAUCUGAAAUUCACUUUGGUGUAAGGAAUAAGGAAGCAUUCUAAAUAGAUGUCAUACACAUCAACAAAUAUAUAUAUAUAGCCCCCACCCAAAUGUGGAUGUAAACUGUUUCUACAUCAUUAUUGAAUAAUCCAUCCUCUCACCCACUGAUCUGAAAUCUCACUGUUGCUAUAUACUAUGGUCCUAUGUGGAUUAGCAUCUACGCCUGGAUUCUCUAUUCGCUCCUCUGACUAUUCCUGGCCCAGUAACUUGUCUGACAAGUUCAGUUUUACAGUAUGUUUUGUUCUCUAGUAAAGCAGCACACCCUUGCUCUCCCAACUCUUCCUUUUCAGUUUUCUUGGCUAUUCUUGAGGGUUUUUUUCCAGAUAAACUUCAAUAAACGUGUAUCAAGGUCCAAAAUGAACGCUGGUAGGUUUUUUUUUUUUUCGAGUUGGGGUCUCACUCUGUCGCCUAGGCUGGAGUGCAGUGGCGUGGAUCUCUGCUCACUGCAAGCUCCGCCUCCCGGGUUCAUGCCAUUCUCCUGACUCAGCCUCCGGAGUAGCGGGGACUACAGGCGCACGCCACCAGGCCCGGCUAAUUUUUUUUUUUGUAUUUUUAGUAGAGACGGGGUUUCACCGCGUUAGCCAGAAUGGUUUCUAUCUCCUGACCUCAUGAUCCGCCCACCUCGGCCUCCCAAAGUGCUGGGAUUACAGGCGUGAGCCACUGUGCCUGGCCAAACGCUGAUUAAAAAACUGAGGUCCAGAGAAAUUAAGUAAUUUGCUUAACUUCGCGAAUCAAGGACUGCAUCAAGGACGGAAGCUGAGGUUCCUGCUUUUGGCCUGGUGCUUUCUGUACUGGCCACACUACCUCCCAAAGGCAAAUAGUUUCUUAUUACUUGAAACUAUUAUCUAGCUAAGCUAAAAUCCCAUUUUAAGCCACUUUUGAAAAUAACAAAAACAUGCCAGAGAAGUUAACAGGAAUUCUCGCUAGUACUUUUUAAAGUGACAGCGUUUCUUAUAGUUUAUAUCCUUUAUAACAUAGAAGUUGCUAUAAUUAAGAAAGAUAAUUUUCAUUUUUAUCUCACUGCAAUUAUUUGCCAUGUAGUCUCUUAUUAAUCAUAUAAUUUUCAAGUGUAAUCUUCCUCUAGUCCUAUUUUCUAGAUAGAAUAGCUGUUAAAAUCCAAGAGAUUUACUAUAGCUUUUUCUCCAAAUUGAGGUUUUUUAAGUCAG
rnacentral:lncRNA from 1 species